rfam:Glycine soja cultivar W05 scaffold175_18, whole genome shotgun sequence.
GUUCUGCAGAGACCAUUUCAGAAUCAAAUUCACAUGUCAGACUUAAGAGGUUUUCAGAUCAAUAUGAAUGAAAAUUAUGGUACUUAGCAGAAU